AAGUGCUCGGUCGAGAUUGUAAGAUACAUUUAACAAUGACCUCAAAUCAGGCAAGAAUACCCGCUGAAUUAAGCAUAUCAAUAAGCGGAGGAAAAGAAACUAACAAGGAUUCCCCUAGUAACGGCGAGUGAAGAGGGAAAAGCUCAAAUUUUAAAUCUGCCUUGUUUCAAGGUCGAGUUGUAAUUUGAAGAAGCGUUUUCUUGGGCUCGCGGCCGGUAGAAGUUCUUUGGAACAGGACAUCAUAGAGGGUGACAAUCCCGUCUGCGACCGGCGUGUGUUCAUCUACGAUACGCUUUCAAAGAGUCGAGUUGUUUGGGAUUGCAGCUCCAAAUGGGUGGUAAACAUCACCUAAGGCUAAAUAUUGGCGAGAGACCGAUAGCGAACAAGUACCGUGAGGGAAAGAUGAAAAGAACUUUGAAAAGAGAGUUAAACAGUACGUGAAAUUGUUGAAAGGGAAACGAUUGAAGUCAGUCGUGCUGGCGCGAAAUCAACCCUCUCGUCGAGAGAUCACAUGGCGUGGCGAGCCUCAAAACCGUCACGAAGCGUGAACUCUUGGCGAAAGGGAGCACUUUCGUGUCCGCUGGUUAACAUCAAUUUCGAACGUCAUAAAAAGGCUGGAGGGAUGUGGCUCCUUCGGGAGUGUUAUAACCUUUAGCGGAAUGUGGUGGUCGGGAUUGAGGAUUGCAACGAAUACCUUUAGGGCUGUUCCACCUGGCCUCUCUCUGGUAUCCUGGUGACGACAGCUUGCUGACGUCGUUAGGAUUCGCCUUUGAACGGGCUAGAGUGUGAGCAAAUUCGUUAAGGAUGUUAACGUAAUGGCUUUAAACGACC
rnacentral:rRNA from 1 species